UACGAAGGUCCCAAGCGUUAAUCGGAAUUACUGGGCGUAAAGCGUGCGCAGGCGGUUAUGCAAGACAGGUGUGAAAUCCCCGGGCUCAACCUGGGAACUGCAUUUGUGACUGCAUAGCUAGAGUACGGUAGAGGGGGAUGGAAUUCCGCGUGUAGCAGUGAAAUGCGUAGAUAUGCGGAGGAACACCGAUGGCGAAGGCAAUCCCCUGGACCUGUACUGACGCUCAUGCACGAAAGCGUGGGGAGCAAACAGG
rnacentral:rRNA from 1 species